GGCCAGGUCGGCGCCAGCCUCCGCCACGGAGUUGGGACUCCCUCCUCUCCAACCCUUCUCUGCCCGCCACCAGGGGGGCGCUGCGCGGCCCACGCCGGGAAGCGUCACAGCUUGAAAAUUGUUUUAAUGGCAAGAUGUCUCUGUGUAGCCUUGGCUGUCGUGGAACUAGCUAUGUAGGCCUGGCUGGCCUCCAACUCACAGAGAACAGCCUGCUGGGACUGAAGGUAAAUGCUGAAAAUGAAGGCAUGGUGUGCCACCACUGCCUAGCCGCUGUUUCAUUGGGCAAAGGCACUUGCUACCAAGCCUGACAACCUGAGUGCAAUUCCUGGGACUCACAUUGUAGAAGGAAAGUACUUAAGUCAUCUUCGGACCUCCACAAGUACACACAUCUAGUAUGGCUGAAGCCAACAAAAAGUCCUGGAUUUUUCGUAUUUGCUGGUUUCAAACAGUUAUCCUGGUUGCAAGCUUUAUCAAGGGAGUGCUCCCCACCAGCUCCAUGUCCAGACUAAGAACAUCUUGGAAUUAGUUUACCAUGGAAAAACAUACUUCUCUAAGGUGAUGGAGGGAGGCCGAGUGUGCUCCUCUCCCUUAUCAGCACAUAUGCUCCGGCAGCACUUCAGCUCACCGAGAUCUAUCUAUCCAUGCAGACUCAAGGAUAAAUAAAGCACUAGCCACUUGAUUCUCAA